AACAUGGCUAGGCUUAUUUCUAGCGUAAAAAACCACAAAUGAAAACAUUUACUUAUAAUAGAUAAUACUUGUGUGAUAGGUUACUAAAUUAAAUUAUGUUAGUUUCUAUAAAUGAUUGAGAUAUGAGAUUACAAUUUUCAUAGUUCAUAUGAUACACUUCUAAUCACAAACAAUAUAUUUCUCAACAGUUUCCUUUGUUAGUUUAACUAUUUUACCACCAAAAAUUUGACCAAAUGGUGAGAAUUUCCACCACCUUCUUCGUCAUCAGUGUCGUGUUUGCAGUUUUUCUAACCAUGUGUGGUCCAACAUUGGCCCAAUACAUUGGCGAUAAUACUAGGAUUUUAUGUACGGGUGUUGGUGGAACUUGUGGAACCCCUGUAGCUUAUGAUUGUUGUGGAGGAAUGAUCUGCUACUUGCCAUAUCCUGAAAAUCCUUAUGCUGGUGGAGUUUGUAGGUAUUAAAUACAUCGAGGACAUUGCUUCUAGAUAACGAGGUUACCAAGCUUUAUCCCUUUGUGAUUGAGUCAUUUACAAGAAUUGAAAAAGUAAUCUCAUGGUUUGACAAUAGAAAAUUAGCUUUGAGUUAUUUCAUGUAUACGUAUUAUUAACUUUUGUAAAAUGAAUAAAUACGUAUAAGAUUCAAUCAAGAAUUUUAUGUGUGAAGGCAUAUUUUUUUUUGUUAACCGUGUAUUAAUACGAGGCACCGCGUGCCCAACUCCAGAAACCAGUAGUAAUAUUUUGUUUUCCUCAAUU